CUCCCUCUGACAUACAUUGUGAAACUGUCUCUUUUACCAGUCUGUGUGUGUACACAUCACCUGUGCAAAGAGUUUUCCUGUAUUAGAGCUGAACCAAGGUGGUCAAUUUACAAAGCAGGUGUGGGUGAGGAUUUAGCAUUUCUAUUGCUUCAUGUAUGCAUUCCUAUUGUUUUCCUGAUUUCAAAUAGGCCAAUCCUGUGGUUGAAUGAAUGUGGAAAGCUUAUAAUGUCAAAUUAAUUAAACAUCUCUUUGUAGUGUGCAAUGACACAAUGAAGUGGAAUACUGAACCUUGAUUUACAGUGUGCUCUAUCCGAAUAUUAGUAAUUUCUGAGGACACACUUAGAAGUUACUGUAUUUGAUCUCAUGCUGCGUUCAUUUAAUGUGGAGAAGACAGGCCUCCUGAUGAAAUCUGUUUUGGCCCCAAGGUUCAGCUGUUGGUGUUUGACCACAAGAGGGCAGUGUGUGUGUGAAUAAGCACCAUAUAGGGCAGGAUCCACGUUCAGCAGAGGCAAGAGGCUGUGCAGAAAGCUUCAGAAACUUAGUGUCUGAGGAAGGAGGAGCCUCACAGAAUGGAUGGGUAUCCAGCCUGGGGCUUAAAAGUGAUGAUGGGCAGAACCGUGAGGACGUUUGCUGGACAUUUCCUCGUGUUCCUGUGGCUGCGGAUGCACUGUGUGAGUGGAGCAGAGCAGGUGGAACAGAGCCCUGCUUUCCAGAAUGUCCGGGAGGGAGACAGCUGUGUCAUCACCUGCACGUACACAGACAGUGCCACCAGCUACUUCUAUUGGUAUAAGCAAGAACAUGGAGAAGGUCUCAGGUUGCUUAUAAACAUUCUCUCAAAUAUGGACAAGAAAGAAGACCAAAGAGUCACUGUGCUGAUGAAGAAGAAGGAGAAGCAGGUCACCCUGCACAUCUCAGCUGCCCAUCCUGCCGACUCAGCCACCUACUUCUGUGCAGCAAGUGCACAGUGCUCCCCCUGCACCUGCAGCCUGUACCCAAACCUACACGAGGGCUGAAGACAUACUUGCUUCUGUCCUUUGAGUGAAGAAUUGACCUAUGUUUGACUUUUAUUUGUGUAGUUCAAAAUAUGCCCUUCUUGAAAGUCAGCUUCAAAGCCACCCAAAUGAAUUUGAGAAUGUUUUUGGUGAGCUUCUGAGGACAGUUACUGAUCUCUAGUUGAAGUCUAAGACUGUAGGAUUGACUCACUGGUGAUAUUUCUACACCCUGAUAUCAAAGUCAGUGAAUUCUGUUCUUGAUGAAAGGAUUCUUAUCUUUUUUU